CAGCUAAGCCAAUCAGGGCAAACGGGCAGUUGCCCAGGCAAUACUAGCCCGUACCAGUGCAUGUUCCUGGGUCU